rnacentral:rRNA from 1 species
UCUUAUUUACAGAACUAUGUGCAAGAGCUCUAUUUGCCUCUGCCAUUCUAUGAGUCGCUUCCUUUUUGCGUAUGGCACCCCCACUCCCUUUGGCAGCAUCUACUAAUUCGGAACUUAAUUUGA